GUUGGCUGUUGUUUGGCUGGGGUCGAUGCCUUAGUACACACACAUGAAGUCAGUCAGUCUCACAGAGCAUCAGCCAGCACAAUUUCUAUGAGUUAUGUUUCACUUGAGGGAGAGAGAUAGGGUGACAUGACUAAAACCCUGCCUUGCUCCCUGAAGGCGGCACAUGUCAACCAUCUUCUGGGGCCUUGUCAGCAGCCAAAAGGUUUUAAUGGAACUGUGUUCUGGGAUUUGCACAUGUCGUCGGUCUUGUUCAAGAGAAGGAGAGUGUCGAGGGGGGGGAAGAGAGAAAAGAGACCUCUUUGAGUGUCAAGCCGAUGAAAGGCGACACGGCGUCCGCCAACAAAAUAGCUUCUUCAGUCUUCUUAUCCUUCCCUGCCAACACACACAGAUCCAAACUCAAAUCGUCAGCUUCUCUUCCCGAGAUGUUCUCUGUAAGCUCGAGAUAGGCUUGGGUGUUUGGUGAUUGAACAGCCGGGUGCCUAUUCUGAACUGCGCAUCUUCAUUUAACAGGCAUAACACCUACUGCUACAGAAUGCAGUUCAGUUUUUUGCACUCGCUUGGCUCUACUACAGUUUUUUUUUUUUUUUUUCAAAUUUCAGAUACGCUCCUCAAAUCAAGUAUUCAUCAAAAUAUCUAACUGGGGGAACAUUUACAACUGAUUGCCAACCAUUUUAUCAAAGUAACAUUAUUUAAAAUGCCGAGAACAAAAUUAGCUUCCAAAUGGAAGCACAGCCAGUUUUCCAUCUGUUUAUAUUGUUUUAAUGGCAUUUGCUAAAGCCUGCCCCACUGACAUGUGUGCCAUUAAAUGUGAAUGAUAAAACUUCCCCCUGAAAAACAACAAGCAGCUUGGCACAUUUUUAUGUAUGUUCUGAUUUUAACACUGAACAUUUUAGAAUAUUUUUAAAUAAAAUCAGAUACCACUGUUUUCUUUUGGAAAUCCCCCUAUGCUAUACGGAUAAGUGAUUAAUUUAUUCAUUUAUUAAAGAUAAAAGAUUUUUUUUAAUAAAUUCAAACUUUUCUGCUCAAUAAUGAUGGCAUAAAAAGGCAUUGCAAAU
ensembl:lncRNA